rnacentral:misc_RNA from 1 species
UCGCGGCUUAAUUCGAUGCAACGCGAAGAACCUUACCUGGGUUUGACAUGCAGGGUGAAAUCGUUGAAAGACGACGCUCUUCGGAGCCUGCACAGGUGGUGCAUGGCUGUCGUCAGCUCGUGCCGUGAGGUGUUGCCUUAAGUGGCGCAACGAGCGCAACCCCUGUCCUUAGUUGCCAGCGGGUAAUGCCGGGAACUCUAGGGAGACUGCCGGUGCCAAACCGGAGGAAGGUGGGGAUGACGUUUCUAGGAGGGUG